rnacentral:ncRNA from 1 species
CGACCUCAGAUUAGGUGGGAUUCCCCGCUGAAUUUAAGCAUAUUAGUAAGCGGUGGAAAAGAAACCAACAGGGAUUCCCUUAGUAGCUGCGAGUGAACAGGGAUUAGCCCAGCACUGAAUCCCAAAAGCAUUGCUUUUAGGGAAAUGUAGUGUUUGGGAGGGCUCAAUUAACCCCAAGAUAUGUGCAUUUCGCCCAAGUCCAUCUUGAACGAGGCCUGGCACCCUCUCGGGACCGUGGCCUCGUUCAAGAUGGACUUG